rnacentral:rRNA from 1 species
UUCUCCUGGGAAACGGGUGGUAAUGCCGGAUGCUCCAGUUGAUCGCAUGGUCUUCUGGGAAAGCUUUCGCGGUAUGGGAUGGGGUCGCGUCCUAUCAGCUUGACGGCGGGGUAACGGCCCACCGUGGCUUCGACGGGUAGCCGGCCUGAGAGGGCGACCGGCCACAUUGGGACUGAGAUACGGCCCAGACUCCUACGGGAGGCAGCAGUGGGGAAUAUUGCACAAUGGGCGCAAGCCUGAUGCAGCGACGCCGCGUGAGGGAUGGAGGCCUUCGGGUUGUAAACCUCUUUUAUCGGGGAGCAAGCGAGAGUGAGUUUACCCGUUGAAUAAGCACCGGCUAACUACGUGCCAGCAGCCGCGGUAAUACGUAGGGUGCAAGCGUUAUCCGGAAUUAUUGGGCGUAAAGGGCUCGUAGGCGGUUCGUCGCGUCCGGUGUGAAAGUCCAUCGCUUAACGGUGGAUCCGCGCCGGGUACGGGCGGGCUUGAGUGCGGUAGGGGAGACUGGAAUUCCCGGUGUAACGGUGGAAUGUGUAGAUAUC